ACCUCUUCCUAACCUACCCUUGUAGUACACGUACGAGAUCGGAAUGUUCGUGUUAUUUGGGUUUUACGUGUGUGGAACUUAAGUUAAGUCAAGUUAAAUAAAAAAGACAUUAAAUUAACAAUAGCAGAACAUCUAAAACUAGAACCUCCGAUCGAUCAUCUAACAAAAAUCAAACGUGUUAACGUAGGAUGCCAUCUGUGCUAAAAAACAGGGGCCUUCCAACGUCAUGUGUUCUUUGUUCUACCUUCGUUUUCGUCUUAAUACAUUGCUGCUAUUCAUGGAUAGGUUCUACUUUGAGUUAUGCUGCCACGGGCAAGCUCUUACUUUUCUUCCCUACUUAGAGAGCGUAGAGGAUAGGUUCUACAUGAGUUAUGCUGCCACAUGGAUAGGUUCUACUUAGAGAGCGUAGAGGAAUAGAGGUGGACUGGCCGACGAUCCCAAGGCGGCGGCGGCGCUUUCGGUGGAGGCGAUCUGUUUUUCGUCAAGUUAGGGGUCGGAGAGGGGUGCCGGUAGUCCUCCUUCGGCUCGUCUCGUCCCACAGAGGUCGUCCUCUCCGCGACCAAGGCGGUCUAGCCAACCGGCGCGAGACACCCCUACCGGGCUACCCCUUCUACCUCUCUGCUGCUCAAAUCCUCCGCGUAGCGUCCCGGAACUGGGAGAGAAGAGACAUCGUGUCCCACUCCGCCUCUCGGGUUGGGAGACGAGCUCCGGAGCCGUGGGGAGAGGAGAAGGUGGCAGCGAGACUAUCCCCUCCUGUAAAUACAAACUCUCUCUCCCUACCUUUUCACCCCUACCUAAUUCUGUUCUCCUUCCUUGCGAAUAGGACGUCAACCUCGUGGCAGAAGAUACGAAGACGAGUGUCAGGGUUGUAGGAGUACCGUCCAGGUUUAGGGACUCCAAAUACUGGAACUAAAACGGUAUCUCCAUCAUCUUCGUCUAUAUCACGUUCUUCGGCUGCGUGAGUAUUACAUGUGGGUAGUGGACUCCUUUCUCUCUUCUCGAACUGGUUGCAGUCUUGAUCUACCCAGACGGUUGUUCACUACUUUACGUUUUCGUUCUGUACGAGUUCUUUAAGUACAGAACCCAUUAGUGCGACUAACGGACUCCACAACUUUACAGCACGGAGACACACGAUACAACAGCUCAUGUGUACUGUUGAACUUCUUUAUGUAGGUGGUUCUACUACGUACUAUGGGAGGGUCAGUUCGAACCUCUACCUUGGCUCCCAAUACGGUCACCGAAGUACGAACCUUGGCUGUUCACCCGGUCGUAGUACUACUUGACCAGUACCAAAGUGUUGGUGUGUUUGUAGGUCCUUCCACAGUAUACACGGAAGGUGAAGUUCGCGUUCCGUUCCACAGUGCAGAGAGUGACACGUAGCAGAGAUCCACGUGGUGGCAGUUGAUGUCGAUACCGGAUAUGUAUACUAGGCACAUAGCUGAGACGGAGAGAAACCCUCCAGCGGGCAGAAAACCUCCUACAAUCUGAAAUUAAAGUUGGCUAACAGCACGAGACACUAGUAAGGAGGUGGAAGAUUCCAACAGUGGAUAAUCACUUAUGAUACAAAGACAUCAAAAUAAAGCACAUAAUAUAAAAAAUUUC
rnacentral:rRNA from 1 species